rnacentral:rRNA from 1 species
AGGACGAACGCUGGCGGCGUGCUUAACACAUGCAAGUCGAGCGGUAAGGCUCCUUCGGGAGUACACGAGCGGCGAACGGGUGAGUAACACGUGAGCAAUCUGCCCUUCACUUUGGGAUAACUUCCGGAAACGGAAGCUAAUACCGAAUACGACCAUUACAGACAUCUGUUGAUGGUGGAAAGUUCCGGCGGUGAAGGAUGAGCUCGCGGCCUAUCAGCUUGUUGGUGAGGUAACGGCCCACCAAGGCGACGACGGGUAGCCGGCCUGAGAGGGUGACCGGCCACACUGGGACUGAGACACGGCCCAGACUCCUACGGGAGGCAGCAGUGGGGGAAUAUUGGACAAUGGGCGAAAGCCUGAUCCAGCAACGCCGCGUGAGGGAUGACGGCCUUCGGGUUGUAACCUCUUUCAGCAGGGACGAAGCGAGAGUGACGGUACCUGCAAAGAAGCACCGGCCAACUACGCGCCAGCAGCCGCGGUAA